rnacentral:rRNA from 1 species
UACGUAGGGGGCAAGCGUUGUCCGGAAUCAUUGGGCGUAAAGAGCGUGUAGGCGGCCAACUAAGUCCUGCGUGAAAUCUCGGGGCUCAACCCCGAGCGGUCGUGGGAAACUGGUUGGCUAGAGUGCGGGAGAGGAGAGUGGAAUUCCUGGUGUAGCGGUGAAAUGCGCAGAUAUCAGGAAGAACACCCGUGGCGAAGGCGGCUCUCUGGAACGCAACUGACGCUGAGACGCGAAAGCGUGGGGAGCAAACAGG